rnacentral:rRNA from 1 species
ACUCAAAGGAAUUGACGGGGACCUGCACAACCAGUGGAGCAUGUGGUUUAAUUCGAAACGAACCGAAGUACCUUACCCAGGUUUGAAAUGCUACCGUUUAUUUUUCCAGAAAUGGAGAGAAAUCCGCAAGGAUGGUAGCACAGGUGUUGCAUGGCCGUCGUCAGCUCGUGCCGUGGGGUGUUCCCUUCAGUGGGGUAACGAGCGCAACCUCCACCAUAUGUUAAAUUUUCAUAUGGGACUAUCCUGAUUUUCAGGAAGGAAGCGGAGACGAUGUCAGGUCAGCAUGGCCCUUAUAUCUGGGGCUACACACAUGCUACAAUGAGUCCGACAAUGGGUUGCCAAGCCGUAAGGCGGAGCUAAUCCCAUCAAACGGACUCUCAGUGGGGAUUGAGGGCUGCAACUCGCCCUCAUGAACAUGGAAUUGGUAGUAAUCGCGGGUCAGCUAUACCGCGGUGAAUACGUUCUCAGGUCUUGUACACACCGCCCGU